rnacentral:rRNA from 1 species
GAUCAUGGCUCAGGAUGAACGCUAGCGGCAGGCUUAACACAUGCAAGUCGAGGGGCAGCGGGGUGUAGCAAUACAUCGCCGGCGACCGGCGCACGGGUGCGUAACACGUAUGGAAUCUGCCCUGUACUGGGGGAUAGCCCUCCGAAAGGAGGAUUAAUACCCCAUAACAACUUGAGUGGCAUCACUUGGGUUUGAAAGCUCCGGCGGUACAGGAUGACCAUGCGCCCGAUUAGCUAGUAGGUGAGGUAACGGCUCACCUAGGCUACGAUCGGUAGGGGGCCUGAGAGGGUUAUCCCCCACACUGGAACUGAGACACGGUCCAGACUCCUACGGGAGGCGGCAGUGGGGAAUUUUUGGACAAUGGGCGCAAGCCUGAUCCAGCCAUGCCGCGUGAGUGAAGAAGGCCUUCGGGUUGUAAGGCUCUUUCGGCCGGGAAGAAAUCGCACAGGUUAAUACCCUGUGUGGAUGACGGUACCGGAAUAAGAAGCACCGGCUAACUACGUG